rnacentral:rRNA from 1 species
UAGCCUACGGGGGGCAGCAGUGAGGAAUAUUGGUCAAUGGGCGAGAGCCUGAACCAGCCAAGUCGCGUGAGGGAGUACUGCCCUAUGGGUUGUAAACCUCUUUUGUCAGGGAGUAAAAGCCGGACGUGUCCGGCUGUGAGAGUACCCGAAGAAAAAGCAUCGGCUAACUCCGUGCCAGCAGCCGCGGUAAUACGGAGGAUGCGAGCGUUAUCCGGAUUUAUUGGGUUUAAAGGGUGCGCAGGCGGAUUUUUAAGUCAGCGGUCAAAUCGUGGGGCUCAACCCCAUCCCGCCGUUGCAACUGGGGA